UACGGAGGGUGCAAGCGUUAUCCGGAUUCACUGGGUUUAAAGGGUGCGUAGGAGGGCAGGGAAGUCCGUGGUGAAAUCUCCGAGCUUAACUCGGAAACUGCCGUGGAUACCCUCUGUCUUGAAUCCCGUGGAGAUGAGCGGAAUAUGGUCAUGUAGCGGUGAAAUGCUUAGAUAUGACAUAGAACACCAAUUGCGAAGGCAGCUCGUUACACGAAGAUUGACUCUGGAGGCACGAAAGCGUGGGGAUCAAACAGG
rnacentral:rRNA from 1 species